rnacentral:piRNA from 1 species
GUGGUGACCUUGUCCCCCUUCUCAUGUC